AAACUACGCCUGCAUGAAGCUGGAAUUGCUAGUAAUCAUAGGUCAGCAUACUAUGGUGAAUACGUUCCCGGGCCCUUGUACACACCGCCCGUCACACCAUGAGAGUUGAGAAUACCCGAAGUCCAUGUCAAAGUGGCCGAAGGUAGGCUUGAUGAUUGGGGUGAAGUCGUAACAAGGUAAC
rnacentral:rRNA from 1 species